CGUGAAGGAAUCCUGACGGAAUGCGUCUUGUCCGCGACUCAGCACAGUCAUUCAACGCUAGGACAUCCUGGACAUCCGGAGAGUUGUUGUCAUGUGUUAAUACAUUAACACUUUACGUUGCACCCCACCGCGACACGUUGGAGCUUUCCUCUGUGCAGCGUCAGAUCGCCCUGGUAGGCUAAAACUCUCAAAGCAUCACUGUCUGAGCCGUUCGUCUCGGAUAACUUAAAUGUCUUAUUUGUCUACAUCUUGAUCCUGUCGUCUCUUCUUCACAUUCGAUGUAAAAUCACGCGGGAGUCAGAGGAGAAACGUGAAGAUGGAAAAAACGGAGAAAAAGUAACUGUAAACCGCAACGUCUGUAGCCGCUUGUGCGGUUGGGCACUUCGGACUGAACAGCUUAUACCGCAGGAGAAAGUAUUAUUCUGCCAUUCAGGGGGGAGAUACAUUAAGGGGCAAUAAGCGAACCCUUACCAUUUUCAGACAUUACCGCAUCAGCAGAAAUGUCCUGUUACGAGUAGCCUAGACAAGAUGACGGGCAUUCUGGGAUGUGUUUUACCUCGAGCCGGUACACUGUUGAGAGGAGAUGGAGACUGGAGUUGUUCAUACUCUCCUCUCAGCUCAAUUCUGUGAGUGGCCACUGACCGGAAAGAGCGGUUGCGGUACAGACCAUUUCAGCAGGAGUGCCUGUUUCAGCACCAUGGACAGCGGUCUCGAGCAGCGCGUCUCCGAACAGAGCGCGCUCGACCAUUAUCCUGACCACCUACCCCCUGCCCUUCCUAGUGCAUGGCGCAAUAUUAUGUUGUUGUUACUGUCAAUCUAAUCGAUAGGACAAUU